GUGCUUGCUUCGGCAGCACAUAUACUAAAAUUGGAAGGAUACAGAGAAGAUUAGCAUGGCCCCUGCGCAAGGGUGACACGCAAAUUCAUGAAGCGUUCCAUAUUUUU
ensembl:snRNA U6 U6 spliceosomal RNA